rnacentral:rRNA from 1 species
UACAGAGGGUGCGAGCGUUGUUCGGAAUUAUUGGGCGUAAAGGGCGCGUAGGCGGUGCGGUAAGUCACCUGUGAAAUCUCCUGGCUCAACUGGGAGCUUGCAGGCGAAACUGCCGUGCUGGAGUGUGGGAGAGGUGCGUGGAAUUCCGGUGUAGCGGUGAAAUGCGUAGAUAUCGGGAGGAACACCUGUGGCGAAAGCGGCGCACUGGACCACAACUGACGCUGAGGCGCGAAAGCGUGGGGAGCAAACAGG